CUGGGAGAAGUGUUCAAACAUUUUUAGUCAAGGAAGCGAGCUUGGACUUCUGUGUCUGCAACAGAACUGCACAGUGCAAUAAACAGAGCCUCGAGAUCAAUUCAGCUGACUCCAAAGCAAGUUCUGAAGGGGAGAUCCCAAAAGAAAGCCUUUAUUCUUUGUCUGCUUGCAGUACUUCUGUUGUUACACUGGGUUACAUUAUUCUUCUGGAACUAACCAUGUCCUCAACAGAAGAUGCGGUGGAGGAUUGCCUUCCUUAAAGAUAUGCAUCACACAAAUUACAGCUGUGGCUUAGCACUAAUCCAGGCACCACUCAACACACAAAUUUCUGUACAGUCACAGCUAGAUCCACCAAAAUCAACUGUUAAAACAAAC
rnacentral:lncRNA from 1 species